ACUCCUACGGGAGGCAGCAGUGGGGAAUUUUGGACAAUGGGCGCAAGCCUGAUCCAGCAAUGCCGCGUGCAGGAAGAAGGCCUUCGGGUUGUAAACUGCUUUUGUACGGAACGAAACGGCUCUGGUUAAUACCUGGGGCUAAUGACGGUACCGUAAGAAUAAGCACCGGCUAACUACGUGCCAGCAGCCGCGGUAAUAC
rnacentral:rRNA from 1 species